rnacentral:rRNA from 1 species
AGAGUUUGAUCAUGGCUCAGAUUGAACGCUGGCGGCAGGCCUAACACAUGCAAGUCGAACGGUAGCACAGAGGAGCUUGCUCCUUGGGUGACGAGUGGCGGACGGGUGAGUAAUGUCUGGGAAACUGCCCGAUGGAGGGGGAUAACUACUGGAAACGGUAGCUAAUACCGCAUAACGUCGCAAGACCAAAGAGGGGGACCUUCGGGCCUCUUGCCAUCGGAUGUGCCCAGAUGGGAUUAGCUAGUAGGUGGGGUAACGGCUCACCUAGGCGACGAUCCGUAACUGGUCUGAGAGGAUGAUCAGUCACACUGGAACUGAGACACGGUCCAGACUCCUACGGGAGGCAGCAGUGGGGAAUAUUGGACAAUGGGCGAAAGCCUGAUCCAGCCAUGCCGCGUGUGUGAAGAAGGUCUUCGGAUUGUAAAGCACUUUAAGUUGGGAGGAAGGGCAGUAAGUUAAUACCUUGCUGUUUUGACGUUACCAACAGAAUAAGCACCGGCUAACUUCGUGCCAGCAGCCGCGGUAAUACGAAGGGUGCAAGCGUUAAUCGGAAUUACUGGGCGUAAAGCGCGCGUAGGUGGUUCAGCAAGUUGGAUGUGAAAUCCCCGGGCUCAACCUGGGAACUGCAUCCAAAACUACUGAGCUAGAGUACGGUAGAGGGUGGUGGAAUUUCCUGUGUAGCGGUGAAAUGCGUAGAUAUAGGAAGGAACACCAGUGGCGAAGGCGACCACCUGGACUGAUACUGACACUGAUGUGCGAAAGCGUGGGGAGCAAACAGGAUUAGAUACCCUGGUAGUCCA